CUCUCAGGGAUUUAGGAGAUCUGCUAUCAGAACAGGUCUAGAUGCAGCUGAUGAUGAUUAAAGGCUGAUGAACUUCAAAGUAGCAGGAGGCCACCAGGUGCACAGCUGUGCUCUACUGAUGACUUUGCCUUUACAGCCUGCAGCAUCAUGGGGCCACACAGAUGCUUCAGUUCCAGCUGCUGGUGGGAGAAGGUCCAAGAUCUUGCCUCUGGCUUGGAGUCUUUCAGAAUGAUCGCCUGCAGAAGAACAAGAAGGCAAAGGCCACCAAAACGGCUUUUUGGCAUGAUUUACUUGCUGCAAUGCCUGUGACAAUGUGCAUUAAUUUCACUGGGGGUGAACAGAAAUGCACAGAGGCUAUUGAAUGUUGGGUUGUCCCUAGGCAUGUCUGAAUUGAAUCCCGAAGGACAUGACCUGGCCUUGGUAUCCACAGAGUGUUGGAGGUUGAGGUUCCAGGAUAAACCUGGGGUCAGCUUUAAUUCCUCAAGGGAGACUGGACUAGGUUCCUCUGGGAAAACACCCAGGCAGAAUAUGGGCUCCCAGGUUAUAAGGAUCCUUCAUAAAAGACAGAAGUCUCUUGAAGAAACUUAACCCCCAACAUAACCAACCUUACUAUAAUUUUUUAACCAUAAAUGAUUUAAAGAGCAGCUAGUCCAUAAUCUUAGCUUUUAUUAAAAAUAAGUUGUUGCUUUGUCAUGAAGACAUUAAUAAAACAUUUUCUUUUGUAGCAUAUUUUAAGCAAGUUACUUACAGCUCUCUGCCACAGUCUAGCAGGCUUCAUUUUGUUUUCCUCAGAGCAAAGAUGGAAUUCAGAGGUGGAACAACAAACUAAUUCAUGAAGUUUUGUGACAAUGGCCUGACAGACCGAAAUUCUACAUUUCCAACUUUAUUUGCAGUCGCUGGUUAUUCUGGUCAUUUAAAGAGAUGCAAUCUGCUACUAGGACAGUAUAGGAGUAGCUGGUACCAAACGUGUGUGCAAAUCUAAAAAUGGACCUGAGAGCUCAAUAAAAAUUCUUGGCACGGCCCAGCUAUUUGGUUUGGCCUUUCUGUGCAGGUCUACUCCACUUCUUCCAACAGUGUUGUUGUAUCAUCAGAAUCCAAGUACAGUGGCAGUAAACCGCCUUG
ensembl:lncRNA